rnacentral:rRNA from 1 species
UGAGGAAUAUUGGUCAAUGGACGCGAGUCUGAACCAGCCAAGUAGCGUGAAGGAUGACUGCCCUAUGGGUUGUAAACUUCUUUUAUAUGGGAAUAAAGUGGUCCACGUGUGGAUUUUUGUAUGUACCAUAUGAAUAAGGAUCGGCUAACUCCGUGCCAGCAGCCGCGGUAAUACGGAGGAUCCGAGCGUUAUCCGGAUUUAUUGGGUUUAAAGGGAGCGUAGGCGGAUUGUUAAGUCAGUUGUGAAAGUUUGCGGCUCAACCGUAAAAUUGCAGUUGAUACUGGCAGUCUUGAGUGCAGUAGAGGUGGGCGGAAUUCGUGGUGUAGCGGUGAAAUGCUUAGAUAUCACGAAGAACUCCGAUUGCGAAGGCAGCUCACUGGAGUGUAACUGACGCUGAUGCUCGAAAGUGUGGGUAUCAAACAGGAUUAGAUACCCUGGUAGUCCACACAGUAAACGAUGAAUACUCGCUGUUUGCGAUAUACAGUAAGCGGCCAAGCGAAAGCAUUAAGUAUUCCACCUGGGGAGUACGCCGGCAACGGUGAAACUCAAAGGAAUUGACGGGGGCCCGCACAAGCGGAGGAACAUGUGGUUUAAUUCGAUGAUACGCGAGGAACCUUACCCGGGCUUAAAUUGCAAAUGAAUUAUGGGGAAACCCAUACGCCGCAAGGCAUUUGUGAAGGUGCUGCAUGGUUGUCAUCAGCUCGUGCCGUGAGGUGUCGGCUUAAGUGCCAUAACGAGCGCAACCCUUAUCUUCAGUUACUAACAGGUCAUGCUGAGGACUCUGGAGAGACUGCCGUCGUAAGAUGUGAGGAAGGUGGGGAUGACGUCAAAUCAGCACGGCCCUUACGUCCGGGGCUACACACGUGUUACAAUGGGGGGUACAGAAGGCCGCUACCUGGUGACAGGAUGCCAAUCCCAAAAACCUCUCUCAGUUCGGAUCGAAGUCUGCAACCCGACUUCGUGAAGCUGGAUUCGCUAGUAAUCGCGCAUCAGCCAUGGCGCGGUGAAUACGUUCCC